rnacentral:lncRNA from 1 species
GAGCCGCAGCCUCUCCGUGCUCCCUCGCCUGGCUGAGCAGCGACCACCCAGCCACGUCACUUCCUGUGGUCGGGCCACACCCAUCUUCUCGGGCAGGAAGCGCCUCCUGGUACUCUGCACACAUGCUUCUGGGCCACGGAGGAAGAAAACUAGAAGCGCAGCACAUUUCUCCGGAGAGAAAACGCUCUGGACUGGAAUUAACACCACUCCUGAAAGAGCAAGCCAGAGCUGGGAGUUUGCGAGCCGCUCCCUUUCCCUCCACUCACCUGGAACCACCGCGGCCCCUGAUGAUUGCCCCGCUCCAUGAUGCUCACCCUGUGAACCCUGUGAGCCCGAGGUACCCAGGCCCGCUUCCCCUCACCCCUCCCUGUUCCUGCCACAUCCCCUGUUCAUCAUAAACGCAGCUCCUUAUACACCCUAUGAGGUACAGGGAC